GUGUAACGUGAAGGGAGAGUAGAGUAGUAUGGUUUUUGCGUACCUGUAACUUCUUGCACUGUGUGCUUUAUGUGUGCAUGUGUGUAUUCUAAAGUAAAUAAGAGGUUCUCGGUUGGCAUUGAGAGAGUAGAAUUUGGUUUUUGUUUGUUUGUAGGGAAAAUGUGGGGAAUGGAUACAAAUUGGAACAUUGAAUGCGAAAUAUACAUUUUAGGACUUAUAAUCUGAGAAAUCAUAAAUAUGUAAUUCAUACUAUUACUAACACACAAUGUGGGGUUUGGGUGUAUGGAAAUCUUUUGUAGGACUUGAAAAUGUGUUGCAACUAGACGUGUAAACUGAAUUGAAUUAGUUUUAAGAAAAUUUUUCCUCCAUCAGAACUCAUCCAUUCCAGCAAAUGGUUCUAACUUUUGAAGUGGUAAAAAUUAGUUCGUUUUGCAUUGAAAUAUUGUAUUCAUAAGGUUUUAGGCAAAGAAAUGAUUAUGAUGAUGCCUUUGUGAUGAAAGUGAAUUGCUUUGCAUAUGAUUUUGUUGUGCAUUCAUUGUGUGUAGGUGGAAGCUAAUGAUGC
rnacentral:misc_RNA from 1 species